rnacentral:lncRNA from 1 species
GACAGUGCUUAUUUAAGAAAUUAUACCUGCUUUGUCUACUGGAGACAGUCGGCUGAAUCAUCGAGUUCUUGCAGAAGCAUUGAGCUUUAGCACCCAAGGGCCCUGAGACAGUUGUAUUCAACAACCUCGUUGCAUGAAAGCAGGGGAAUUCUGAGGGGGCAUGGACAUUGCAGACUUUUUCACCAACCAGGAAAACUUUUCAGGCAUCACCCAAGAGGUCCAGCUGAAGAUGUAAAAGUUCUAGAGUCUGGACGUCUGUGAUCAGGGUGCCAGCACUGUCCAGGUCACAGACUGCAGACCUUGUAUCUUCAAAUGGAGGAAAGAGGACAAGAGAGCACCUGUGGUCCCUUUUAUCAAGAUGAAUGCAUAAGGAAAAUGUUGUACAUUUGCACAGUGGAGUACACUUCAGCUAUAAAAAGAAUGAGAUGCUGUCAUUUGCAACAACAUAGUUGUGCAGUCAUCAGUUAUCUUCAUGGGAUGAGUAUGUCCGGAGGGGAGGAAAAUCUGAUAAAAAAUAUUGAAAUUCAACGAAGGCUUCCACUGCUUAACAAAUGUUACAUAGAAUUCUUCACCGAUGUGAGGAACAUCAGUUUGCAAAAGAAACCCUGCACUUUCAGGGAUAAAAAAACUGAGACUCCAAAUGGUGCUCCUAGUAUUGGUGAAGCUUAGGGAGAGAGCCCAUUGUGUUUCUAUCUAACUGCUCUCAGGAAAAGGUAGAAAAUGUCUCAGAUUCCACAAGAAAGAUAGAACGUGUGAUAAGAUGACAAUCAGG